AUUCCAGCUCCAAUAGCGUAUAUUAAUGUUGUUGCAGUUAAAAAGCUCGUAGUUGGAUUUCUGGUCGGAACGCCGGUCCGGCUCCGCAAGGGGUCGUGUAUUGGUUUCUCCUGCCAUCCUCAGGGGGAGCUGCGCUGGUAUUCAUUUAUCGGCGUGGUUACGCCUGUCGUUUACUGUGAACAAAUUAGAGUGUUCAAAGCAAGGUGUACUUGAAUACAUUAGCAUGGAAUAAUAAGAUAGGACUUUGGUGGUUCUUUUUAGAUAUUUUGUUGGUUUGCACGCCAAAGUAAUGAUUAAUAGGAGCAGUUGGGGGUAUUCGUAUUCAAUUGUCAGAGGUGAAAUUCUUGGAUUUAUAGAAGACGAACUACUGCGAAAGCAUUUACCAAGGAUGUUUUCAUUA
rnacentral:rRNA from 1 species